UGUGACCUCAAAUCAGGUAGGACUACCCGCUGAACUUAAGCAUAUCAAUAAGCGGAGGAAAAGAAACUAACAAGGAUUCCCCUAGUAACUGCGAGUGAAGCGGGUAAAGCUCAAAUUUAAAAUCUGGCGGUCUUUUGGCUGUCCGAGUUGUAAUCUAGAGAA
rnacentral:rRNA from 1 species